rnacentral:rRNA from 1 species
GACGAACGCUGGCGGCGUGCUUAACACAUGCAAGUCGAACGGAAAGACCCUGAUUUUGUGCUGUUCCCGAGUGGCGAACGCGUGAGUAUCACGAGUGUAUCCUACCCUUCUCUUUGGGGUAACAUCAGGAAACUGGGGCUAAUAUAGGACAGGAUAUCCUGCACCAUGGUGAGCAUUGGAAAGUUGCGGCGUGUGGGGCUGGAUUGGCGGCUUAUCAGCUUGUUAGUGGGGUAGUGGCUUACCAAGCGUGUGACGGGUAGCCAGCCUGAGAGGGUGACCGGGCACAUGAGGACUGAGGUACGGAGCAGACUGCAAUGGGAGGCAGCAGGGGGGAGUAUUGCCCAGUGGUCGGGAGCCUGAGGCAGCAGCGCUGCGUUCGGGAAGACGGCCUUCGGGUUGAAAACAGCUGUCGCCUGAGACGAAGCGUUAGUGACGGUAAUGAGUAAAGAAGCACCGGCUAACUACGUG